GCUAGUACCUAUGUGCCCAAGAUUGAGCGGUCUUCUAGGGGAGUCUGUCUGUCCAGCAGCUUGCUCUGAACUUAUUCGGUGUUUAGUGAGCACCUCCCCUGAGCAGGCACGCUGGGUGGAGAGAGCCAGUAAGUCCUUGCGGUCCCCGAGUUCAUUCGGAACCUGCAAUGAGAUCUGCCCACGUCUAGGGUUCCCAGUGUGCUGUGUGGUGUUCUGCUUGGACCGAGCCCCAGCCUAGAAUAACUCAGCAUUCCUCUUCCGAGACAAGACAUUUCACCUCCUGCCACCAGACCCAGACACACCGACCUGAGCUUGCUGCUGAAGCCUCCCAAUGCUGUUAGCUGUUUGACCAUCCUGAGGCUCUCCCAGACAUCUCUGAGACAAGAUGGACAUCUGGCAUUGUCUAAAUAGAAAACUGCACUGGAUUGUCUUUUCCUCUAGACCUCCUAACAGAUGACUCCCAUGUGAUUCUGCACACAGCGACGACAUUUCUGAGCACAAAAUCAAGAGGAAUAAAUGUGCAGUUGAGAGGGUGGGCCGUCAAGAAUGGGCAUGCUCCACUGAGGGGAGAGGACCCUCAGCAGCAGACCUCAGACAAGCCUUGGGCUCUGCCCUCCAGACACAACCAACAUUUGUUCAAACUUCAGGUCUGGGUCAAAUGGUGAGCUAAACAUUUUGAGAAGCUAGCUGAAUGUUGUGCACACAACCGUUACCCCCUCACUGUAAGCUGAUGCAGGAGGAUCAUGAGUUUGAAGUCAGUCUGGGCUUAAAAAACAAAACAAAACAAAAAAAACCCCCACCUUUCUCAAAAGAACAAAGUUGAAGCCCUGGAGGGAAUCCACGCACAAAACCCUGGGUUAUCUGCACAGAGGCCUGACUGAUUCUCAUUCCUGGCUGACCGAGGCAUCCUGUCUCCCUCUUACCUUGCCCAGCUGUUGGCUUCUAGUCAAAAUACACAUAGCCAUUUAAUCAUUAAUCUGAGCAAAACAUUGCUAGGGAGUUUCACUGUGGAGUUUUUAUGCAUAUACACACCACAGUUAAUUGCUUGGCUAUCUGGUUUUCUUGUUCUUCUCUGUAUUUUUCUGGGCCCUGUCCCUCUCCAUUUGUGGAGAUGGCCGUAAGUGAUCUCAUUGGGGAAUUAAUUGCUAAGAACCUUUUGGUUCUCUUCUUUGAAGGUGUGUGUGGGGACGUGUUUGGCUGCAGUGGACAGUUUAUGUUCACAAGAAGUGAGUGACCUUGUCCAUGGAAUAGAGCAUGUAUCUGUGACCAGGAAAAACACCAGUGUUUGUAUUUGGUGAUGGUUUUAUGCCUUGCUGUCAGUAGAGACAUUUACAAGCUUGCUGACAGUCCAGGACUCCAAAAGCCAUCAUGGUGACUUAGCACAUAUAAAUGCACCCUAUUUUUAUAUUAAUACUAGGGAGGGGAAGCUGAAAGAUCAAACACAGAGAGAAUGGAUUUGAGAGACACUUCAGAGCCAUUGGGAGGCCUACAAAACUAGAUUCAGCACGCUGUCAGGUCCCCAGGAUUUUCAUUCCCCACUCUGUAUGUGUGUGUGUGUGUAUGUGUGUGUGUGUGUGUGUGUGUGUGUGUGGUUGGCUAACUUUGAACUCCUAAUCAUUCUGCCUCAGACUCCAGGGUACUGGUAUUAUAGACAUGCACCAUCAUGCUUGGAUUUUUCCCUCCUUCAUUCAGCUUUCUUCCCCUUCUUCCUUCCUUCCUGUUUUAAUAUGCUUGUUAUUUCUUAAACUAAUUCAGUCUUAAGGAUAAAGAAAUUAAUAACACGUAUCCUCAGCCCUCUUUGAACUCAGCAAAAUCUAGAAAUAAGGAAGAGAGAGAGAAAGAGAGAACAUUAGUACAUUGAGGAUUUUCCAAUCUUGCUUGGGGGGGUACGUGGGAAGCUUCCUGAAAGAGAUAACUGAGUGACUGACUCGAAGGGAAGCUAAACCCAAGGCUUUUCCUUCUCAACGGACCAAGACAUUCAACGGGGUUUAAGAACAGCAUAUGGAGGGGAUGAAGUGGAGGGCUUUAGGGAUGUGAGCCUUCCAUAGAUGGAAGAUGUAUUAGUCAGAGUUCUCUUGAGUAACAGAACUUAUAGAAUGAACACACACACACACACACACACACACACACACACACACACACACACACGGAAUUUAUUAGAAUUACUUAUAGGCUGUGGCCCAGCUAAUCCAGCAAUGGCUGCCUAUGCAUGGAAAGUCCAAGAAUCCAGUAGACGUUCAGUCCCCAAGGCUGGAGGUCUCAGCUGGUCUUUGGUAUACAUCUGAAUCCUGAAGACGUGGUUAAUGCCGGUGAAGGAAUUGAUUUGUUAGGGAGGAUGAGGAGAAGCAAGCAGAGAACAAGGGCUUCCUUCAUCUAUGUCCUGUACGUAGGCUGCCAGCAGAAGGUGUGGUUCUAGUUAAAGAUGGACCGUCCCAUCUCAAAAGACAUGGAUGAAAGGUUUAUCUUCUCACCUCAAAGAUCCAGAUUAGAAAUGGGUUUUCCCACUUUGGAUGAUUUAAUAAAGAAAAAAAAAUCCCUUA